AGAAUCAACGCUGGCGGCGUGCCUAACACAUGCAAGUCGCACGAGAAAGUGGAGCAAUCCAUGAGUAAAGUGGCGCACGGAUGAGUAACACGUGAAUAAUCUACCUCCGAGUGGGGAAUAACUGAGAGAAAUCUUAGCUAAUACCGCAUAAUACCCACGGGUCAAAGCAGCAAUGCGCUUGGAGAGGAGUUCGCGGCCGAUUAGUUAGUUGGCGGGUAAUGGCCCACCAAGACGAUGAUCGGUA
rnacentral:rRNA from 1 species